UACGAAGGGUGCAAGCGUUACUCGGAAUUACUGGGCGUAAAGCGUGCGUAGGUGGUUCGUUAAGUCUGUCGUGAAAGCCCCGGGCUCAACCUGGGAAUGGCGAUGGAUACUGGCGGGCUAGAGUGCGGUAGAGGAGAGUGGAAUUCCCGGUGUAGCAGUGAAAUGCGUAGAGAUCGGGAGGAACAUCAGUUGCGAAGGCAGCUCGCUGGGACGGUACUGACGCUGAGGCGCGAAAGCGUGGGGAGCGAACAGG
rnacentral:rRNA from 1 species